rnacentral:rRNA from 1 species
GUGGCUUAAUUCGAAGCAACGCGAAGAACCUUACCCGGGUUUGACAUCCCUGGAAAACGGUAGAGAUACCGUCCCCCUUCGGGGCCAGGUGACAGGUGCUGCAUGGUUGUCGUCAGCUCGUGUCGUGAGAUGUUGGGUUAAGUCCCGCAACGAGCGCAACCCCCUGUUCCGUGUUACCAGCAUUCAGUUGGGGACUCACGGAAGACUGCCGGUGACAAACCGGAGGAAGGUGGGGAUGACGUCAAAUCAUCAUGGCCCUUAUGUCCGGGGCUACACACGUGCUACAAUGGCCGGCACAACGGGCAGCGAAGGAGCGAUCCGGAGCGAAUCCCUCAAAGCCGGUCCCAGUUCGGAUCGUAGGCUGAAACCCGCCUGCGUGAAGCCGGAAUUGCUAGUAAUCGCGGAUCAGAACGCCGCGGUGAAUACGUUCCCGGGCCUUGUACACACCGCCCGUCACACCACGAAAGUGGGUAACACCCGAAGCCGGUGGGCCAACCGCAAGGAGGCAGCCGUCGAAGGUGGGACCCAUGAUUGGGGUGAAGUCGUAACAAGGUAAGCGUAGUGCU